rnacentral:rRNA from 1 species
ACGUAGGGAGCAAGCGUUAUCCGGAUUUAUUGGGCGUAAAGGGUGCGUAGGCGGCUUGUUAAGUAUGAGAUUAAAGCCCGAGGCUUAACCUCGGUUCGUUUCAUAAACUGGCAGGCUUGAGUAUGGCAGAGGUAAACGGAAUUUCUAGUGUAGCGGUUAAAUGCGUAGAUAUUAGAAGGAACACCAGUGGCGAAGGCGGUUUACUGGGCCAUAACUGACGCUGAGGCACGAAAGCGUGGGGAGCAAAUAG